rnacentral:lncRNA from 1 species
UUGCCUCUUCUCUCCCUUGCCCAUCCUCCCUUGCCCCUCUUUUCCCUUGCCUCUUUUCCCUUGCCCCUUCUCUCUUGCCCUUUCUCUCUCUUGCCCCUCCUCUCCCUUGCCCCCUCUCUCCCUUGCCCCUCUUUUCCCUUACCCCUCAUUUCCCUUGCCCCUUCUCUCCCUUGCCCUUCCUCUCCCUUGCCCCCUCUCUUCCUUGCCCUUCUCUCUCUUGCCCCUCCUCUUCCUUGCCCUUCUCUCCCCUGCCCCUUCUUUCACUUGUCCCUUCUCUCUCUUGCCCUUCUCUCCCUUUCCCCUCUCUCCCUUGCCCCUCUUUUCCCUUACCCCUUCUCUCCCUUGAUCUUCCUUUCCCUUACUCCUCCUUUUCCUUGCCCUUUCUCUCUCUUGCACUUCUCUCCCUUGCCCCUCUUCUCCCUUGCCUCUUUUCUCCCUUGCCCCUCUUUUCCCUUACCCCACAUUUCCCUUGCCCCUUCUCUCCCUUGCCCGUCCUCUCCCUUGCCCUCUCUCCCUUGCCCCUUCUCUCCCUUGCCCUUCUCUUCCUUGCCCCUUCUCUCCCUUGCCCCUCCUUUCCCUUACCCCUCCUUUCCCUUAUCCUUUCUCUGUUUUACAUUUCUCUCCCUUGCCCCUCUUCUCCCUUGCCCCUUUUCUCCCUUGCCCUUCUCUCCCUUACCCCUCUUUUCCCUUACCCCUCAUUUCCCUUGCCCCUUCUCUCUCUUGCCCCUCAUCUCCCUUGCCCCUUCUCUCCCUUGCCCCUCUUCUCCCUUGCCCCUCUUCUCCCUUGCCCCUCUUCUCCCUUGCCCUCUUCUUCCUUGCCUCUCUCUUCCCUUGCCCCCUCCUCUCCCUUGCCCCUCCUCUCCCUUGCCCCUCCUCUCCCUUGCCCCUCUCUUCCCUUGCCCUCCUCUCCCUUGCCCCCUCCUCUCCCUUGCCCCUCCUCUGCCUUGCCCCCUCCUCUCCCUUGCCCCUCCUCUGCCUUGCCCCCUCUCUCCCUUGCCCCCUCCCCUGCCCCCUCCCCGGCGCGCUCCCCGCUCAUGGAGAGGAAGGAGGGCGGGGAGCGCGCCUCGGAGGAGGAGGAGGAGGAGGAGGAGGAGGAGGAGGAGGAGGAGGAGGAGGAGGAGGACGGGCUUGAGUUACACAACCGGUCGGGGCAGAUUGCGCUGCAAAUGUGAGUUUCACAAGUAA